rnacentral:lncRNA from 1 species
CCACAAAAAUUUAGUUUUUAAUUGAUUUGAUAAUAUAAUUAAGGAUAAAACUGUUGGGCACAUAAAGAAAUCUUGUCUUCACCAUUCAUAAAUGAUAAGUAAAAUCUGGCAUGAGAUAUAUAUGAUCACAGGACAUGAAAAAUCUACAUGAUAUAUGUAAUUUAAGAUUUAUGUGUUAUUUUAAGGCAUAUGCUGGGUAAAUUAGGGACAGUAUUGACUGGGUCCAGAGUAAGUUAUAGCUGUAUUGUCCUUCUCAGUCAUGUAUGUGACAGUCUGUGUUCUGGCCUGUGGUAUUCAGACUUUGCAGAAACUGAAACUUUCUAAGAUCCGAAGAUGCAUUUUGCUCUAAUUCCAUUGGUGUGAAAUUUCUUUUUUCUCUGUGAAAUUUCUUUUUUCUCUGUCCAGCCUAGAUGCAGCUUAAUAGAGACAGUCACAGUUGUAAGUAUGAGGUAUGGUGGUCAGAAAUUAGAAUUUUUUGUCAAAAUGUGGAACAGUCAUUUCCUUAAUUUAGCGUUUCUAAAAGUGAGGAGCACAGUAGCACUUUUGAAAUGCAGGUCACUCAACUUCCCUACAGCUGCCAUCUAGCCACCAAAUAUCACUCCCCAUUCUACAUGCAAAGCAAUCUG